rnacentral:lncRNA from 1 species
GAAAGUCCUUGUGUGUCAACCUCUGUGCUUCGUGGCAAGGUAGACUAGCAAACAUGCCCAACCUUUACUCACAUUCGAGAAAACACUCCCAAUAAGAUUGCUUGCUCCAAAAUCGAAGAGGCACCGUCCUCCGAAUCUCGAGAGCCAGACUCUCAACAUGACUACUUUCUUAAAAAUCGAAGAGAGGGUAAAGGAACAGUACCAUUGCUGGAUAAUUGGAAAGUCCCUGUGUGUCAACCUCUGUGCUUCAUGGCAAGGUAGACUAGCAAACAUGCCCAACCUUUACUCACAUUCGAGAAAACACCUCCCAACAAGAUUGCUUGCUCCAAAAUCGAAGAGGCACCGCCCUCCGAAUCUCGAGAGCCAGACUCCCAACAUGAUUACUUUCUCAAAAAUCGAAGAGACACUGCUCCCCGAAUCUUCGAGAGCCAGACCCCCAGCAGCAUGAUUGCUUUCUCAAAAAUCGAUGAGGCAUCGUUCUCCGAAUCAAUCGAAGAGGCGCUCGCUUUCUCAAAAGCUGGGCUGCUCAGAGACCACGAGGGCCGAUCUCAGAAAUCGAAGAGGCACCUACUUUUCUAGCCUUGUCAGCACCUGUCACACGCACACUCAGCUUUGCAGAAAUUAUGGGCAUUCUGUCGAAGACUUCUGGUGAAGUAGAAAGCACAUGAAUCUUACUGUUCAAUCACCCACUUCCCACACGCAACAAUAGCUCAUGGGUACCACAGAUAACUUUGCCAAAGUUCUCUGCCAAAGUUGAGCACGUGAAGCUUGCAGCUCCCCACUACAUCGCUCUGACCAAGAAAGGUAAAAGAAUAACAAAGAAACAGCACUAACAAAGUUUAGACACAUAAAUUUUGAAGUUCUAGCUACCAUAUUAUUACCCACAAGGGUAAAUGAACAAUACCACUGCUGGAUAAUUGGAAAGUCCCUGUUUGUCAACCUCUGUGCUUCGUGGCAAGGUAGACUAGCAAACAUGCCCAACCUUUACUCACAUUCGAGAAAACACUCUCAACAAGAUUGCUUGCUCCAAAAUCGAAGAGACACCGUCCUCCGAACCUCGAGAGCCAGACUCCCAACAUGACUACUUUCUCAAAAUCGAAGAGAGGGUAAAGGAACAGUACCAUUGCUGGAUAAUUGGAAAGUCCCUGUGUGUCAACCUUUGUGCUUCGUGGCAAGGUAGACUAACAAACAUGCCCAACCUUUACUCACAUUCGAGACAACACUCCCAACAAGAUUGCUUGCUCCAAAAUCGAAGAGGCACCGCCCUCCGAAUCUCGAGAGCCAGACUCCCAACAUGAUUACUUUCUCAAAAAUCGAAGAGACACUGCUCUCCGAAUCUCGAGAGCCAGACCCCCAGCAUGAUUGCUUUCUCAAAAAUCGAAGAGGCAUCGUUCUCCGAAUCUCGAGAGCCAGAUACCACAGACCACUUUUUCAAAGUGCUCUGACAGAGUUAAAACAUG